rnacentral:rRNA from 1 species
GUUGCGUCACUGACGCUGAGGCUCGAAGGUGCGGGUAUCGAACAGGAUUAGAUACCCUGGUAGUCCGCACUGUAAACGAUGGACACCCGCUGUGUGGCCUAUUUUGGUUGUGCGGCCAAGCGAAAGCAUUAAGUGUCCCACCUGGGGAGUACGCCGGCAACGGUGAAACUCAAAGGAAUUGACGGGGGCCCGCACAAGCGGAGGAACAUGUGGUUUAAUUCGAUGAUACGCGAGGAACCUUACCCGGGCUUGAACUGCAGGAGAACGAUCCAGAGAUGGUGAGGCCCUUCGGGGCUCCUGUGGAGGUGCUGCAUGGUUGUCGUCAGCUCGUGCCGUGAGGUGUCGGCUUAAGUGCCAUAACGAGCGCAACCCCUGCCUGUAGUUGCCAUCGGGUCAUGCCGGGCACUCUGCAGGGACUGCCACCGCAAGGUGUGAGGAAGGUGGGGAUGACGUCAAAUCAGCACGGCCCUUACGUCCGGGGCUACACACGUGUUACAAUGGGGGGUACAGCGAGUCGGUCGUAUGCAAAUGCGGUCCAAUCAUGAAAGCCUCCCUCAGUUCGGAUUGGGGUCUGCAACCCGACCCCAUGAAGCUGGAUUC